rnacentral:rRNA from 1 species
GAUGAACGCUGGCGGCGCGCCUAACACAUGCAAGUCGAACGGCACCUAUCUUCGGAUAGAAGCGAGUGGCGAACGGCUGAGUAACACGUGGAGAACCUGCCCCCUCCCCCGGGAUAGCCGCCCGAAAGGACGGGUAAUACCGGAUACCCCCGGGCGCCGCAUGGCGCCCGGGCUUAAAGCCCCGACGGGAGGGGAUGGCUCCGCGGCCCAUCAGGUAGACGGCGGGGUGACGGCCCACCGUGCCGACAACGGGUAGCCGGGUUGAGAGACCGACCGGCCAGAUUGGGACUGAGACACGGCCCAGACUCCUACGGGAGGCAGCGGUGGGGAAUCUUGCGCAAUGGGGGGAACCCUGACGCAGCGACGCCGCGUGCGGGACGGAGGCCUUCGGGUCGUAAACCGCUUUCAGCAGGGAAGAGUCAAGACUGUACCUGCAGAAGAAGCCCCGG